UACAGAGGGGGCAAGCGUUGUUCGGAAUUACUGGGCGUAAAGGGCGCGUAGGCGGCCUUCUAAGUCGAACGUGAAAUCCCCGGGCUCAACCCGGGAACUGCGUCCGAUACUGGAAGGCUUGGAUCCGGGAGAGGGAUGCGGAAUUCCAGGUGUAGCGGUGAAAUGCGUAGAUAUCUGGAGGAACACCGGUGGCGAAGGCGGCAUCCUGGACCGGCAUUGACGCUGAGGCGCGAAAGCCAGGGGAGCAAACGGG
rnacentral:rRNA from 1 species